rnacentral:tRNA from 1 species
UCCCGGGUGGCUCAGAUGGUAAAGCAUCUGUCUGCAAUGCGGGAGACCCGGGUUCGAUCUCUGGGUUGGGAA